CCUACGGGAGGCAGCAGUGGGGAAUCUUGCGCAAUGGGCGAAAGCCUGACGCAGCAACGCCGCGUGCGGGAUGAAGGCCUUCGGGUUGUAAACCGCUUUUAACAGGAACGAAAAUGACGGUACCUGUAGAAUAAGGUGCGGCCAACUACGUGCCAGCAGCCGCGGUGACACGUAGGCACCAAGCGUUGUCCGGAUUUAUUGGGCGUAAAGAGCUCGUAGGCGGUUCGAUAAGUCGGGUGUGAAAACUCUGGGCUUGACCCAGAGACGCCACUCGAUACUAUUGUGACUAGAGUUCGGUAGGGGAGCGGAGAAUUCCUAGUGUAGCGGUGAAAUGCGCAGAUAUUAGGAGGAACACCGGUGGCGAAGGCGCCGCUCUGGGCCGAAACUGACGCUGAGGAGCGAAAGCGUGGGUAGCAAACAGGAUUAGAUACCCUGGUAGUCCACGCCGUAAACGGUGGGCACUAGGUGUGGGCUCCAACCAACGGAGUCCGCGCCGUCGCUAACGCAUUAAGUGCCCCGCCGUCGGGAGGUACGGCCGCGAACGUAAACGUACAAUAGAUAGACGGCGUGAGACGUGCCGAACGGACGACGACGAGGGAGUAGG
rnacentral:rRNA from 1 species